rnacentral:rRNA from 1 species
GAUGAACGCUAGCUACAGGCUUAACACAUGCAAGUCGCGGGGCAGCAUUUCGUUAGCUUGCUAAUGAAGAUGGCGACCGGCGCACGGGUGAGUAACGCGUAUCCAACCUUCCCAUGUCCACGGGAUAGCCCGUCGAAAGGCGGAUUAAUACCGUAUGAGGUCACAAGCGGGCAUCUAAUUGUGACGAAAGGUUUUGCGGACAUGGAUGGGGAUGCGUCCGAUUAGCUUGUUGGCGGGGUAACGGCCCACCAAGGCAACGAUCAGUAGGGGUUCUGAGAGGAAGGUCCCCCACAUUGGAACUGAGACACGGUCCAAACUCCUACGGGAGGCAGCAGUGAGGAAUAUUGGUCAAUGGGCGAGAGCCUGAACCAGCCAAGUAGCGUGCAGGACGACGGCCCUAUGGGUUGUAAACUGCUUUUAUAAGGGAAUAAAGUGAGUCUCGUGAGACUUUUUGCAUGUACCUUAUGAAUAAGGACCGGCUAAUUCCGUG